rnacentral:rRNA from 1 species
UACGGGGGGGGCAAGCGUUGUUCGGAAUUACUGGGCGUAAAGGGCUCGUAGGCGGCCAACUAAGUCAGACGUGAAAUCCCUCGGCUUAACCGGGGAACUGCAUCUGAUACUGGAUGGCUUGAGUUUGGGAGAGGGAUGCGGAAUUCCAGGUGUAGCGGUGAAAUGCGUAGAUAUCUGGAGGAACACCGGUGGCGAAGGCGGCAUCCUGGACUGGUACUGACGCUCAUGAGCGAAAGCGUGGGGAGCGAGCCGG